rnacentral:lncRNA from 1 species
CGGGUGUGCCUCGCCGUCCCGCGGGACCUCUCCACCGUGUUCCGGUCGAUGCCCAUGCCCGUGACCGCCGAGAAGCGGAUCCGGGCGUCGUGAUGGUGAUGCUGCGAUCUGGUCGACGCCCAUGCCCGUCCCGGUUCGGCCGAUUGAUCUCCUGGAGAAUUCUCCCAGUCCGCUUGCUUCUUCCUCUUCUCCUCUCCUCUCCUGGGUUCGUGGCCAUGGUAAAUUAUGAGUCAGUCUCAUCAUAUACAUAAAUAAGGUGUUGUUCUUUGUAGUAGUAUGCGUGCUUCCUUCUGCCAUGGCUCUGUGAAAUUCUCAUGCAAGCUGUAUAAUAAGGUAGGUUGUUAAUUACUGGGCGGAAGUGGUUAAGGGCGGAAGAAGGUUGUAAGAAAAUUCAGAGAGAUCCUGGUAAAUUAAUUAAUUAAUUAUGAUAGCCAGUACCAGAAUUGUGCAAUUAUCUUCAGUUCCUCUGUGUUCCAAUUCAGCCAGAAUCCUCUUGUUGCUAAUCGAUCGCCGCCCAGAACAUCCAUGGCGGAUGCGCGCGGCCGGCUGUCUGCUGCUGCUGCUGCGUGAAGGGCGAGACGAGGCGACUAAUCAAUUCGGGUGGAUAGAUCCACCGUUUCUCGCAAAUUAAUUCGGAUGCCAUGUCCGGUAAUCCAUGGAGAUUUGGGUGUGGCGGGUGUGCUUUCUGGUGGCGCCGCUGUCCGGCCCGAUGCCGAGAGAGAACAGACACGGAGAAUCUUCCAUGCUAAUCGGGACAUGACACAGCUUCCUUCCCCCUCUCUCCUUUUCUCUUCUCCGGCCGGUCCAGUGGUGAAUUAUUUUCUCUUCUGAAGAUCUUGGUUUGUCUCUACCGUAACAGCCUGCACGUACUGCGCAGUGCGCGCCUCCAAAAUCCGGCAGUCUUAAUUUGUCCCUACCGUAACAGUGUGCAUGAUGUAGUGUACUGCAAAUUCUACCUACUGUGUAGCUGGUUAACCCCUCUGUCCAUGUUCAUCCACACGCACAGAUGAAAAACAUCCAUUCAGUUGUUAGUCUCUGGUUCUCUGAAGUUGCCGGUGGAGUAUAUGACAAGUGAAAUAAAUCCAGAGCUUCCAGUCGUAGGAACAGACGGCAUGCAGGCGACGUAUACAGGGCCAUCGUCCAGAGUCUGCCCUCAGGGGCUUUUUGUCCGGUGCUGCAUUUGGUCACCACGGCUUCUGGCCUUACUGCAAGCCGUAACUGGCCGGCAGUAACACACACCACAUGUGGCCACCUGUCUGCCACACCGUAUAGUCAGUACUAGGUGCCUUGAGUGCCAUGAAAACCAAGGUCCAAGAACUUGAUACAUACCGAGUGAUUUUUUUCUUCAGUUCAGUUGUUGGUAGCAGCCGCACACAUAAUUUUCUUUCACUUCACCCAACCCAGACCCAAAACAUGGGCUUGCCUCUGGGAGAAGGCGGGCACACGGUGAUGAGUGAUGAGAUGGGCUAAAGUUGGUGCCCGCGUCACAUGGGUUGUUCGUUACUUGCAGUUGCAGUUACCGGCGGUGCUGUUGCCCCGAGGAACAGGCCUCGGUGCGCUUUUAUCAGUCAGUCCUGCUCCUAGGAGCAGCCGGUGAGCUGACGCCGCCGGCAGCCGGCAGAUCAGAUCAUGCGCCCCCCGAAUCUACCUUUCUUUACAUAGUUUUCCGGCCUUUUUCUACUCGUCCGUGGAAUCUCCUCACUUCUUUUUUUACUGUCGGCGGUGUCACCAGUUGACGAUAUGAUAUGCCGGUAUACCGGUGGUAAACAGUAAAGUAAUGGUCAGCAGGUAUGUCGUGACGGCACGUCGGAGACACAGUGGAUUUUCAGGAUCAUUUUUUAUUUUAAGAUGAUUUUAGAAUCGGUUAGGAAGGAAGGGAGGUUGAUAAAAAGUAAACUCGCAUUGGCGGAGUCAAAUGGGGGCCCAAGGACACGCGAGAUUCUUCGGAUCCUGGGGGUGGGUAGAACGUUUUCCGUCGAGACUUUCCAACGGUAAAAAAUAGGAAAUUCUUCCUCCGGCCGUUGCCUGGACCUCCAGCAGUUUCUUGCGGUAAUUAAGAGGCACCAUGCAUGGCCAGGCACAGGCAAAUGCUCUGUGAUCGCGGUUGUAGUAGUACUCCCUCCGUUCUUAAAUAUAAGUCUUUUUAGUCACUUCAAAUGGACAACAACAUAUGAAUGUAUGUAAAUAUAUUUUAUAGCGUAGUUUCACUCAUUUUACUUCGUAUGUAGUCAUUUGUUGAAAUCUUUAUAAAGACUUAUAUUUGAGAACAGAGGGAGUAAUUAAACGCAGCUUUGGCUGGAUCUCUAUCUACCUAGUACUACGUUUCCUGUGGUAAUUAAAAGACAGCUCGUGCAUGGCCGGGCAAACGCUGUGCGAUCGUGGUAAUUAACAGCACAUUUGUCAGUAGUAUGUUUCUUCAGUUCUUAUCGAUGGCGCCCGCGUGUCAGGUCCGGUGUGGCUGCCUGCAUCAGGAGGCAUGUUGUGUGCACGAUGCAGGCAGCUUUUCAACUAAGAUUCUCCGGUCCGGCAAUCAGUGUGCGCAAGACUGUAAUGGCUAUAACAUAAUUCUGAAGAAACUAACCGUCCGGAUUACUAAUCUUAGUAAAAAAGAAAGGAGUUGCAGACGGCUGUGUGAGGACGACGUCGACCGAUCGAGCCCAACGGAGAAGAAGCGGCACUAUAAAAUACGCGCGGCAGCACAGCGGCUGCUCGUCGCCACCCAGCUUAUAUAAUAAAACUGAACUCAUGGAUCGGCCGAUCGAUCCCCCGUGGUAUACUUUAAACUGCUCCGCGGUUGCGUUUUGACCUUUUUCACUGCUAUAAAGUGUGGUUCGUGGCAGCUACAUGCGACGGAUUUUGCUUUAAGUGUGAAUGAAUGUCAGAGGCAGGCAGCCGCUGCCUGCACCAAGAGGCAUGUUGUGUGACGUACAGUACAUGACUAACUUAUUUUUUUACUGCGAUUCUUGGGAGAUAAUGUCAGGAACAGGGUGACAAAUAUAAUCGCUGCUCAGUCUCUGAAAGACUGAAACCAACUCCGAUCCUCUGUAUUAAUUGUUCAGCUACGCAUAUGUCAGGACCUGUCUAAUUCUGAACCCCAAACCAGUUCUGUAGUAGCAGUAUAAGAUAUGCAGCCUGUCAUCAGCGGCUCUGCCUAGUUUAUUAUACUCUACAUACGGGCUGAUCCCCCCCACCAAAUAUAGUACCGGCAAACAUAUAAAAGGGCAGUGGGUAACAGUGGCAACAUUUUUCACCUUCGUCCGGUGGAAUCCGAGCACAGUGUGCGUUGGUUCAUGCUCAUAGAGAAGCUAGCUAUAUGGCUUUUACCUCUAGGGCAGGCUAUUUGUAAACACAGCAGGGAGGGAUUGAGCAGUAAAUCGACAUGACUAGACACAAUAAUAAACACUGGGUUAAUUAGGCAGCUAGCCAUGGUAGAUCCAGACGUGGCCGCUUUACUCGGGCAGCCCAGUACCGCUAGCUGCGACUGAACUCACCCACCGUCACCGGCCGCUUUAAGCUUUGCUACAGUGACCAACCACCUUCCUUGCAAGAUAAGCCAGCCAUCAGCUGGCAGCCAAGGGCAUCUCCCCUUGAUUAGCUGCACGGUUUCUAUCUUUCUUCUUCUGUUGCUAUGUAUUUUUUCCUUUUCUUCUGAAUGCAAGUUAUUGUUCAGUUCUUGGGAACUUCCUUUCCAUGAUAAUUCCUUUACCUAUCUUGUAGACUACCUACCUAUGCCGUAUCCGUGAAGGCUCCAAGUGGCAAACCCUGCCACUGCCGUUUCUGUUUUUCAGAGACAAAUGGACUUCCAAAUGGCACAAGAGUAUGGUGCAGUUGCUUUCUGGGCCCCCAUUUCACAGGCUUCCGUUUCACUCAGAUAUACCAGCAGCAUACCGCAAGGCUGAAGCAGAGAUGAAACCGUCAGGGUUUGGUGAUCAGAAAUUAAGGAGGCACACAUUGCAGGCCCCUGCACGCAAAGUUGCUUCAUAGAAUCCUUUUUUUUUAUUUUUUGGAAAAAGUUAGAUAGCAGUAACUUGGCUUGGUAUAUAAAACACUGGAAUUAGAGCAACUCCAACGCGUCGACCCAAAUGGACGGGGAUUUUGUCCGUUUGGGUCGGCUGCCCGCUCGGCGUCCGCCCUGUUUAUUUUCUGGGUCGGCAGUGCGUCCAACGCGCCGACCCAUAUUUGCCGGCGUGGCCGCCGUUUUCAACAAAUAUGCACACAUUUUACAUAGUUUCACAAGCAAACAAAAAUAGGAUAGUUUCACAACCAAAUAAAUUUAGCAUAGUUUUACAAGCCGAAUAAAAAUUAAGUUGUCUCAAAUAAAUGUGAAAAAAAGAUACAUCUAUUGCUUGCCAACAUGAGCCCACAUAUGCUCAACC